ACAUGUCAUUUUAUUGUGUGAUG
rnacentral:siRNA from 1 species